GGUGGACUAAGUGGUUAGAGCGUCCGCCUCGGAUGCGGGAGGUCCUGGGUUGGAGCCCCAACUGAGUCA